CAUGCAUCGUGUCCGCAUAAUACGGAUGCCAGAAAGUGAAACUACUCGACAAUGAUAGAGGGAGAUCACAUCUGGUGGAAACUCGUUCCCACGUCGCGACGGCUACGCGUGUCUAGGAAGCGCGUGGGCGCGCGUAACCAAGGGAAGCAAAAGCCGGUCGAACAGUUUUCAGAUGAAGCCAGCGCCGUUUGUACUCGGCGUGGGUGGCUUGGAAAUGUCCUGCAACGAUGGAUACCGGCUUUAGACGGGACCGUAAUUCGAGCCUCUGUCAGUUUGGCGAAAACCUGAACGCAUACAUUGAACUUUCUUGACGGCGUGAAACGAACGUUCUUGUGGCGGUACGAGCAUAGACACGUGAGGAUUCGUGUGGUAUCCUGCCGAAAAAGUGUGUAACUCGAUCCGGCAAAAAGGUAAUAACCCGCUCAUGAAUUUUAAUUUAAAAUUAAAGCGAUACCGCGCGGGGGAGGGACUCGCGAUAUAUAGCUCAUCCGAGAGUGGUUUUGCAGGUAGCUGAUACACAGACACAGUCCUCCUCUUCCUCAUCCCUGUUUCACUUUCGCUCUUCCUCUUCUUCUUCGUCUUCUCCUUCCUCUUUAUCGUUAUCUUCUUCUUCUUCUGCUUCAGCUUUGCCGAAGCUGAUUCUCUCGUUCACACGCCUCCUUCAUUUUCGAACACCAUACAACGAGGCUGGCAUUCUGAGGGAAGCCUCUAGAAUGUGUCUGGCGAAACUGUUACCCUUUACCGGAUAAUAAUAAAAAAAGAAAAAAAAGAGACAUGGAAAGAGGAGAAACCUUUGAUACGCGUGGGCGCGAUAAAUACCGGGGGUGUCUUUAAAAUUUUUCUGGGAUGGAGAGAUAUUUGAAAUUAAAUGAGAAACGAGUCGCUUAAAGAAUUAUCUAUUGGUUUGAUGUUAUCUGAGAUUUCCCUUGGAUGGGUAUAGUCCAGUAAAAGUAUAAAUCUCAGAUGUUUAUGUUAUGUCGUAUAAAAACUAUCCAAAGUAAAAUAGUCGCGAUAUUCAGAGUAAAGUAUUUAUUCAGGUUGUACUUUUUUAAUUAUUCUCAGGAAAGUAUGAAUUAUAUAUCACAUUGAAAUGUGGAUUAAACAAAAUGCAGUUUACAUAAAUACGAAAGUAAAUCGAAAGGU
rnacentral:misc_RNA from 1 species